rnacentral:rRNA from 1 species
UACCAGCACCCCGAGUGGUCGGGACGAUUAUUGGGCCUAAAGCAUCCGUAGCCGGUCAUGCAAGUCCCCCGUUAAAUCCAGCUGCUCAACAGAUGGGCCGCGGAGGAUACUCCAGAGCUAGGAGGCAGGAGAGGCAAGCGGUACUCAGUGGGUAGGGGUAAAAUCCGUUGAUCCAUUGAAGACCACCAGUGGCGAAGGCGGCUUGCCAGAAUGCGCUCGACGGUGAGGGAUGAAAGCUGGGGGAGCAAACCGG